rnacentral:rRNA from 1 species
CAAUAGCGUAUAUUAAAGUUGUUGCAGUUAAAAAGCUCGUAGUUGAAUUUUUGCUUGCCGCCGAUGUCGGAACUUCCGUACGUUCGGCGGCGUGCAUCCUUGGGUGGAACCUGUGUGGCAUUAGGUUGUCGUGCAGGGGAUGCUCAUCGUUUACUGUGAAAAAAUUAGAGUGUUCAAAGCAGGCUUAUGCCGUUGAAUAUAUUAGCAUGGAAUAAUAAGAUAGGACCUUGGUACUAUUUUGUUGGUUUGCGCACCGAGGUAAUGAUUAGCAGGGACAGUUGGGGGUAUUCGUAUUCCAUUGUCAGAGGUGAAAUUCUUGGAUUUCUGGAAGACGAACUACUGCGAAAGCAUUUACCAAGGAUGUUUCCAUUAA